CGGCUCGCUGUGCUCGACGUUUGUUGUGUGAUCUGUGCGGUUAGGCCAUCGAAAACUCUGCUAAACUCUUCUGAAGACGCCAAAUUCUGAGCUCUUUAUCCUCAAGCUACCUCAAGCCUACAAGCACUUCACAUUUUGUGCGAGAAAUGCCGUCAUUUUCACUGGCCAUCUCCAGCAACAUUUGUCACAUAACCUUCACUCCAGCUGAUGUGACUGAUGGUGUUAUGAUUCGUGGGGGAGAAGAUUCUUUUUGCGUGGAACGUUCCAGGCUGAGUAUUCAGACGAACGUUCACAGUGGCUGGAAUGGAUUCAGAGGAUCCCAGACUCUAUCUCCCUCCACUUUGGUUACCUAACCUCCACACGCCACACCUGAUAAGUCAACCACAGAAACCAUGGAGUCGUCUUGUGUUCCAUUCAGAAGCUGGUGUGACCCAUAGUGAUCAAGAUGGAAUGUGUGUGGGGAAUGUUGAAAUGAACAGAGGCAGUGUUGCUUGAAUCGGUUCAGAGGACUCGAGAAUGCCCAUGUCUUUUCUGAACAAAGAGUUUCUAGUAGACUACUUGGAUGCUCGGUGCUCUACUGGUGUCUUUGCAUAACACACAGCGUUGAAGUGAUGGCCUAACCACGUUCACUAUUUAAGUCUUCAGGGGGUUCUCAACAUGAGUUGUUUAUCAAUCAACAUUUGGGGAGGACUAUUGGUGUUCGUUGAUGACCAAUGCCCAAACCAUCGAGUUGGAAACUGAAUAGAGGAUGGCUAUUAAUUGGGGGCGAAUUGAAACUAGGUUGCGAGCCAGGACUGUAACGUCAUUUUGCAUGGGAAACUGAUAUCUGGCUGUACACCAUUUUGUUGCUAACUGUUAAAUAAAAGUGGUGCA